rnacentral:rRNA from 1 species
GCGAUAGGCUUCGGGUAGCUGCAAGCGAGCGUAAAUCCGAAGAUUUCCGAAUGGGAUAACCCGUUAUUUCUGAUAAGGAAAUAUCAUCUCUACUUAAAUUCAUAAUAGUAGAGAGGGUAAGCAGGUGAAGUGAAACAUCUCAGUAACCUGAGGAAAAGAAAGAAAACUCGAUUCCCUUAGUAGUGGCGAACGAAAAGGGAAUAGCCCAAACCAGUCAAGUGUUAAAGUCUUGGAACGUUGCUUGAUUGGAGUUGUAGGAGUAACUAUUUUGGAAUUCCAAGAUUCCGAGGGAAGUAAUAAAAGAAUUUCUUUAUUGAAUACUAUGGGAAGAGUAGCCAUAGAAGGUGACAGCCCUGUAAAGAAAAGAAAUUCUCUUCCUUAGUUACUCCUGAGUACCAUGGGACUCGUGAAAUCCUGUGGGAAUCAAGGAGGACCAACUCCUAAGGCUAAAUACCUCCGUGACCGAUAGUGAACAUAGUACUGUGAAGGAAAGGUGAAAAGAACCCCGGAAGGGGAGUGAAAUAGAACCUGAAACCAUAUGCCUACAAACCGUGGGAGGACUAUAUUAAGAUUUUCUUAAUAGUCUGACCAUGUGCCUAUUGAAGAAUGAGCCAGCGAGUUAUUGAUUACGGCAAGAUUAAGGGUUAAUCCCGAAGUCAUAGCGAAAGCGAGUCUGAAUAGGGCUUUAAGUCGUAAUCAGUAGACCCGAAGCCGGGUGAUCUACCCAUGGUCAGGUUGAAGUGAGAUUAACCUCUCAUGAAGGACCGAACCAAUCAGGGGUGAAAUCCUGUUGGAUGAACUGUGGGUAGCGGAGAAAAUCCAACCGAACCCGGGAAUAGCUGGUUCUCCCCGAAAUGCAUUUAGGUGCAGCCUCAGGUUAAAUGAGAAGUGGUGGUAGAGCACUGGAUGGGCUAGGGGUCCAUUGGGCUACCAAACCCAACCAAACUCCGAAUACCACUUUUUCUUAUCCUGAGAGUGAGAAAACGGGGGAAAAGCUCCGUUUUCAAGAGGGUAACAGCCCAGAUCAUCCGCUAAGGUCCCAAAUGAAAACUAAGUGUUGUUGAUAAGGAAGUGGGGUUACUCAGACAGCUAGGAGGUUGGCUUAGAAGCAGCCAUCCUUUAAAGAGUGCGUAACAGCUCACUAGUCGAGUGACCCUGCGCCGAAUAUGUGCGGGACUAAGUUUUCAACCGAAGCGAUGGAUUGAGAUAUUAAUUUUAUAAUUAAUAUCUCAGUGGUAGGGGAGCGUUCCUAUUGUGGUGAAGGUAUACCGUAAGGAGUGCUGGAACAAUAGGAAGUGAGAAUGCUGGCUUAAGUAACGAAAAGAAGGAUGAGAAUUCCUUCCGCCGUAAGUCUAAGGUUUCCUGGGGAAGGUUCGUCCACCCAGGGUUAGUCGAUCCUAAGUUGAGGCUGAAAAGCGUAGACGAUGGAUAGCUGGUUAAUAUUCCAGCACUACCUAAAUUUCGUUAAAAGCUAAGGGGAGGUCGAGGAGGAUAGGUCUGCAGGGUGAUGGAUUACCCUGUUCAAACCUGUAGGUGGCAUCUUCAGGUAAAUCCGAAGAUGCGCUAACACUAAGAGGUGAUGAGGAGCUAUUGGGUAACCAAUGGCGAAGUGGCUGAAUCCAUACUUGCUGGAAAAACCUCUAUGCAUUGAAAUUUAGGUAAUCGUACCGCAAACCAACACAGGUAGACUAGGAUAAAUGUCCUAAGGCGCGCGGAAGAACUCUCGUCAAGGAACUCGGCAAUCUAACCCCGUACCUACGGUAUAAGGGGUGCUCUUCUUAGUUUAGGUAAUAUCUGCUGAAGCUAAGAGGAGUCGCAGAUAAUUGGCUCGGGCGACUGUUUAACAAAAACACAGGUCUCUGCAAAGCCGUAAGGCAAAGUAUAGGGGCUGUGGCCUGCCCAGUGCCGGAAGGUUAUGGGGAGGGGUUAGCUUUCCUUGUGAAAGCGAAGCUCUGAACUUAAGCCCCGGUGAACGGCGGCCGUAACUAUAAGUUAGACCUUGUAGUUAUAAAACCUGGCUAUAUGCUGGAAAACUCGGUGUAUCCUUUGGUACUUGUUAAUUUAUAACAAGUGACAAUCCAUAAGGUGCGAGCAAUCAGCAGGAAAGGCUUUCAGGGAGAGAAGAAAGGAAGGAAUGAUCAGUGAACCAAAAGAAGAUAAAUGUUCCACCUAAGAUUGGAUGGUAUCUUUCUGGCUUUACUGAUGGUGAAGGUAGUUUUAAUGUUACUUUUAGACCUCGUGAAGAUUUUAAAAAUGGAUGGAAAGUUUCACUAUCCUUUAGUGUAUCUCAAAAAGACAAGGUUAUUCUUACUCUUUUUAAAAGAUAUUUAGGUUGUGGAACUAUAAGACAAAGAGAAGAUGGAAUCUGGUGUUUUGAAGUAACUAACAUUGAAUCUAUUUCAGAAAAGGUAGUUCCUUUCUUUAAUAAGUUUAAAUUUCUUUCUCAAAGAAAGAAAAAAGCCUUCUCUAAGUUUAAAAAAGUUCUUGAAAUUGUAAAAGAUAAAAAAUAUCUAACUAAAGAAGGAAUUGAAACCAUAGCAAAACUUAGAGAAGAGAUAAAUUUAGAUAACUCAAAAAGAAGAUAUGAUAAAGAAGAAAUUAUAUCUUCCCUGAAAGAAUCCUCAGAGACUAUACGCCAGGCAUCCUCAAAUAAGGAUGAUGAUAUAGUCCGGUCUCCGUAGCGAUACGGAGGAUUGGUCAAAUUUU